GGGAGGGAGAGGAAGGGAGAGAGGACCCGGGAGCUCUUACCUGCAGCUCCUCCGGGUCCUCCUCUCGCGAGCAUGGAGCGUUGCCGCGGUUACCAUGGCAAUGCUCCAAAUCUCGCGAGAGUGAACUCUAGCCCUGGAGUGCGGGCUAGAGUUCACCUCAACACUGGGCCACCAGGGAUUCCCCACCGGACCACCAGGAAUCCUGAAAUGUCCCCCCUCCACCCAGUGAAGGUAAGAAGGGAGGGGGGACAUCAAUAUAUUUAUUUUAAUUAAAUAAAAAAAAAUUAAAAAGCCUCCCUACCCUCCUUCUCCCCCCAUACAAACACUGACCCCCAUACACACACUACACACACUGCCCCACAAACACUGCCCCCAUACACACACUGCCCCAAAAACACUGCCCCCAUACACACACUACACACACUGCCCACAAAAC